GAUGAACGCUGGCGGCGUGCCUAACACAUGCAAGUCGAGCGAUCUUCUUCGGAAGAGAGCGGCGGACGGGUGAGUAACGCGUGGGUAACCUGCCUCAUACACAUGGAUAACAUACCGAAAGGUAUGCUAAUACAAGAUGAUAUAAGAGAUUCGCAUGGAUUUCUUAUCAAAGCUUUUGCGGUAUGAGAUGGACCCGCGUCUGAUUAGCUAGUUGGUAAGGUAAUGGCUUACCAAGGCUUCGAUCAGUAGCCGACCUGAGAGGGUGAUCGGCCACAUUGGAACUGAGACACGGUCCAAACUCCUACGGGAGGCAGCAGUGGGGAAUAUUGCACAAUGGGCGAAAGCCUGAUGCAGCAACGCCGCGUGAGCGAUGAAGGCCUUCGGUCGUAAGCUCUGUCUCAAGGAAGAUAAUAGACGGUACUUGAGGAGGAAGCCCGGCGUAACUACGUGCCAGCAGCCGCGGUAACAUACUCG
rnacentral:rRNA from 1 species